GGAAUUGCUAGUAAUCGCGGAUCAGCAAGCCGCGGUGAAUACGUUCCCGGGCCUUGUACACACCGCCCGUCACACCAUGAGAGUCGGGAACACCCGAAGUCCGUAGUCUAACCGCAAGGGGGGCGCGGCCGAAGGUGGGUCCGGUAAUUGGGGUGAAGUCGUAACAAGGUAUC
rnacentral:rRNA from 1 species